UGAGUAACACGUGAGUUACCUGCCCCGAAGCGGGGGAUAGCCCGAAGAAAUUCGGAUUAAUACCCCAUGUGAUCGUAAGAUUAAAGGCGGCGUAAGCUGUCGCUUCGGGAUGGGCUCGCGGCCUAUCAGCUUGUUGGUGAGGUAAUGGCUCACCAAGGCGAUGACGGGUAGCUGGUCUGAGAGGAUGAUCAGUCACACUGGAACUGAGACACGGUCCAGACACCUACGGGUGGCAGCAGUCGAGAAUCAUUCGCAAUGGGCGAAAGCCUGACGGUGCGACGCCGCGUGGAGGAUGAAGGCCCUAGGGUCGUAAACUCCUGUCAUCAGGGAGUAAGGGCUCAUAUAGUAACUGAUAUGGGUCUUGAUAGUACCUGAAGAGGAAGGGACGGCAAACUUCGUGCCAGCAGCCGCGGUAAUACGAAGGUCCCAAGCGUUGUUCGGAUUUACUGGGCGUAAAGAGUCUGUAGGCGGUGGGGUAAGUCAGAUGUGAAAUCCCGGGGCUCAACCCCGGAACUGCAUCCGAUACUGCCUUACUUGAGGGUCGGAGGGGAGUCUGGAAUUCUCGGUGUAGCAGUGAAAUGCGUAGAUAUCGAGAGGAACACUAGUGGCGAAGGCGAGACUCUGGACGACAGCUGACGCUGAGAGACGAAGGCCAGGGGAGCGAAAAGGAUUAGAUACCCUUGUAGUCCUGGCAGUAAACGGUGCACGC
rnacentral:rRNA from 1 species